UUUAGUAUAACAAAAUCUCAUGACAAGGAAAUAAGGAAAAGCCCACAGAAUUUAUUAUCAUAUGGUAAUACAUUUGUGUACAGUGUACGCAUGCAACUACACAGUACUAAUUGGGAGUGAUUGGAGAGGACUCCAUUCCACUUGAAUUUCAAAACUUUCAGAUAAUGAAAGUUUCAAACAAAUAUAAUUUUUAUCAUAAUAAAUACAUUCACUGACACAAACUACUGGUAAAUUGCUACCAAACUGAUUUCCUGCCAGACUUGAUUUAAUAAUUAAAACAUUCCUUAUAUUUAAAUGUGUCUUUAAAACAACCAGGAAGAUGAAUAAAACAGCAUAUUUUCCUCAAACAAUUCAUAGUCCAGAAAGCAGAGAGAGAAAAUUCUACAUAAGCACACCAGCAGGGACAAAAGCUUGAGAGAGACAGCUGCCACAAGUGAGGAGCACACAGAAUUCUAUAAAAAGCCCAAGGAAAGUGACCUAACUUGCAUGGGAGCUUCAAACUUACAGUAGGAUGCAUAGUCCUUGCACAAUAAAUGUUUGAUUUCAGUCACAACUUCGUGUUGUGUGUCAAAGUGUUAGGAAAGAGUUGGAAAGGGACUCAGAAUUUUCUGUUUCAAAAAUUCUCCUUUUACAGAUAAGAAGAGUUUUGAGAUCAGCUCUGAAAAUGGAGAGAUGAAGAGGAAAAAGAAAGAAUUCCAGCUGCCAUGAAAUCUGAAGUUGUGUGACCCUGAGCUCUGCCAACAACCUGAAGGAGCUUAGAAGUGGAUCCUUCCCCAGUCAAACCUCCAGAUGGGAACAGAGUCUAACCAACACCUUGAUAGUCUGUUUAACUGAUAAAUUAUCUGAUCUUGAUCAUGGAAGCAAAGCAGAAGUCUUAAACAGAUAAACAGUAUAAUCCAUCCCAUGGAAUUAGAGUGAAUCAGUUUAACACUUCAAGCAGAUUACAGGAUCAGUAGAAUUAGCAGAAGGAAAGUCAGUGCAUUUGCUGUUUUUGUUAAUAACUAAUGAUGGAGGGGCUUCCCUGGUGGUGCAAUGGAUGAGAAUCUGCCUGCCAAUGCAGGGAACAUGGUUUCGAUCCCCAGUUUGGGAAGAUCCCACAUGCCGCGGAGCAACUAAGCCUGUGCACCAAAACUGCUGAUCCUGCACUCUAGAACCCACAAGCCACAACUGCUGAGCCCGCGCGUCACAACUACUGAAGCCAGUGUGCCUCGAGCCCAUGCUCCACAACAAGAGAAGCCACUGCAGUGAGAAGCCUGAGCACCGCAAUGAAGACUAGCCCCCGCUCGCCGCAAGUAGAGAAAGACUGCGUGCAGCAAAGAAGAUCCAACACAGCCAAAAAUAAAUAAAUAAAAUAUCUUUAAAUUAAAAAAAACUAACUAAUGAUGGAAAUGUAAUGAGAUAU